ensembl:lncRNA
GGUCCAGAGGUUUCCUGGUUAUGUUAACAUGGGGUAAAAAUUGCCCCACCACUCUGGGACCUAUGGUGCCACCAGUCUGACCGCUCUGGGACCUAUGGUGCCACCAGUCUGACCGCUCUGGGACCUAUGGUGCCACCAGUCUGACCGCUCUGGGACCUAUGGUGCCACCAGUCUGACCGCUCUGGGACCUAUGGUGCCACCAGUCUGCUUGCAGUUGUCAGUUAUCACCAGCUAAGUCCUCUCCUGUUCUCUAAAUAAGAGGUGCACCACUCCACUACCAUUGUCAACUCUCUCCUGACAUGAACUGAAGCCACGUCUCAUGUUCAUCCACUGGCACAUUGAAUGUUUCCUCUCCAACCACUUCAAAUCCUGUCCUGCACUGAAGUCAAGCCUCUGAACACCCGAACUCAUGCCUCACACAAUCACAACUGUGAUCUCUUCCCAACACGAUUUUUCACGUCACCAGCCUCCACUGGACUACAGACGGUAUCUUGAUGCAUGUAAGGAUAAAUCGACCAAAAACAGUGUGACCUCCCCCCAGCCAGCUGAAGUAAUGGAAAAAAUGGCGUUCACUACGGCCCUGUCCUGCACCACUUCUACCGUGAGACCUGUACACAGCAUCCAGUCGACGCUAUCAACUGCCUUUUCUCUCACGAGUGUGACAAGAGUCCAUGUGGAGUGAGCACGGAGAGAGAUCCCGUCCAAACUUGCGGUCUCAUGUGUCCUGGGAGGAAAAUGGACAAGACAUAAUGGACUGUAAAGGACAUUGGAGGCUCAGGUGACAGACAUUAUCAAGGGCCAUCCACCUUGAACAUGUGCUAUUGGGAGGAUGAACUGAAACACUAUCUGAAGCAGAACAUGAAGAAACGCCAGAAGAAGAGUACCCGGGGAAGGAGGGUGGCUGUCAACUGUGCCUGUAAAUGGUUUAUUCCACGUGUAACUGUGCUGUUGUUUGUGUCGCACUGCUUUGCUUUAUAUUGGCCAGCUCGCAGUUGUAAAUGAGAACUUGUUCUCAACAAGCUUACCUGCUUAAAUAAAAAAUAAAAAAUGGAUUUACUGUUGAUAAACUGUUUAUUUGGGCUAUCAUGUUGAUUUUGGAAGUCUACACACUGAGAAGCUUAUUGUAAUGUAGAUAAAAAUUAAUUGGGAUACCGAUCUGUCAUUAACAUGCCACUCACAACAGUGUAAGAUGGGGACAAACAGUAAUGAGAACAGUUAAUACUGGAAAUAUAAGUAGUACAUACUGUCUAUAUAUGGUUCCCUGUUUGUAAAUGUACAUUCUAACUGUGUCGUUGUGUGCUAAGUUGAGGGUCUUGAAUUUGAGUGAUAGACCCAAAGUGGGGCACUGAAGACUGACAUUAUACAUUUGGGUUGUAUAACAUUGAUCGUAGGGUGCAAACAUGUUAUGGGUAGAUGGAAGGAUUUAUGUGCAAAUGCCGGAGGCUAAGUACAUACAUAUAUGUUUGCAUAAGGGUGUUAGUUGCAGAGAUAGUUUUGUCAUUUCAGACACUAUUGUGACACUAUUGUGUCCCAGAAGGGAAGUUGGCUGUAGUAGUAGUAGUAGCAUCACAUCUCCUGCAGAGGGCGCCAAACGAUAGGUGACCAUUGCUGUACAUUCAUACCCCAGGGUGACUAUUGUAGUGGAGCAUCUGAAAGAACUCAGCGGUGAUCUCGCAAACGAACACCAACCAGACAACAAUUGGAAUCCGUUUGGAUGGGUUCAGUCAUUGUUUGGUGUUAGGGGGGCUACAAAAUUUCAUUGGUUGAUUACAUAUCUGAUAAAGAUGAUAAUCCUGAUCACCGAAAACCCUGAAUUAAUGGUGCAGCAUGUCCAUAGGCCAUGCUCAUUGCGGGGGUUCUGUAAACGGUGCUCCCAAGGUAGUGUUACCGUCAUGGUGACCCGCGGCAAUGUGGACAGUGUCAACGAAGUGAUUGCCUUGUGUGUGGUGAUAAAGAAUGUACUGAUGUUUAACAUUCAUAUGUUCCUUUCCCCCUUCUGAGAAUGAAUUGCAUGUGAAGUUUUGAAACUCAAUGACAAAGGUAAUUUACAAUUUUAAUGUACUAAGUGUAAGAAAGUAUUUCAUUUUCCCUCUUUCCAAACCAUGUUAGUGCUUGUUUGAUGAAAAUGUUUGUAAGUAAUUUUCCAUUAGGUUGAGACUUGGUCUCAAAAGGGAGGAAUUGUGGUGGAAAAAUGUUUUACUCCUUCGAGAAUUGUCUCGUGUUAUAUCUUUUUUUUCUAACCUGAUACAAACUUGUCUUUGUGUGACUUAGUGGAAAAAGGGCGUAUAUCUAAGACAGGGCGUAUAGCUAAGAUCCGUUUGGGUGUGACCACAGCAUGUGAUACAUUGCAUGUUUUUACUAUCUGCAGGAAGUCAGCUGAAUAGACAUUUUCAGAAAGGAGAACAUUACUGUGUGAGCUAUGAUAAAUGCAGUUAGACGUUUGAGCCCUCGUGUUAUCUUAAUCUGCACAGACAAACCAAUCGCCUUGUACACACUGUUUCCGCCCCUGUUUCCACACAUCUUCUAAACUGCCACGAAGACAAAAAUGUUGUACUUUCUAUAAAAGCGGAGAGCCAACUCUGUUCGUUGGGCUUUUAACACUGCAC